CCUACGGGUGGCAGCAGUGAGGAAUAUUGGUCAAUGGCCGAGAGGCUGAACCAGCCAAGUCGCGUGAGGGAAGAAGGUCCUAUGGAUUGUAAACCGCUUUUGUCAGGGAGCAAAGUCACCCACGUGUGGGUGUUGGAGAGUACCUGAAGAAAAAGCAUCGGCUAACUCCGUGCCAGCAGCCGCGGUAAUACGGAGGAUGCGAGCGUUAUCCGGAUUUAUUGGGUUUAAAGGGUGCGUAGGCGGGUUAUCAAGUCAGCGGUAAAAUCGUGGAGCUAAACUCCGUCCAGCCGUUGAUACUGAUGAUCUUGAGUGGACGAGAGGUAUGCGGAAUGCGUGGUGUAGCGGUGAAAUGCAUAGAGAUCACGCAGAACUCCGAUUGCGAAGGCAGCAUACCAACGCCCGACUGACGCUGAAGCACGAAAGCGUGGGGAUCGAACAGGAUUAGAUACCCGUGUAGUC
rnacentral:rRNA from 1 species